rnacentral:rRNA from 1 species
GAUGAACGCUGGCGGCGUGCCUAAUACAUGCAAGUCGAGCGAACGGACGAGAAGCUUGCUUUUCUGAUGUUAGCGGCGGACGGGUGAGUAACACGUGGAUAACCUACCUAUAAGACUGGGUUAACUUCGGGAAACCGGAGCUAAUACCGGAUAAUAUUUUGAACCGCAUGGUUCAAAAGUGAAAGACGGUCUUGCUGUCACUUAUAGAUGGAUCCGCGCUGCAUUAGCUAGUUGGUAAGGUAACGGCUUACCAAGGCAACGAUGCAUAGCCGACCUGAGAGGGUGAUCGGCCACACUGGAACUGAGACACGGUCCAGACUCCUACGGGAGGCAGCAGUAGGGAAUCUUCCGCAAUGGGCGAAAGCCUGACGGAGCAACGCCGCGUGAGUGAUGAAGGUCUUCGGAUCGUAAAACUCUGUUAUUAGGGAAGAACAUAUGUGUAAGUAACUGUGCACAUCUUGACGGUACCCAAUCAGAAAGCCACGGCUAACUACGUG